rnacentral:lncRNA from 1 species
UUGUAAAGUUUCCCUUUAGGUGACAAAGCGAGGCUGAAGCAGUGGCUGGUGAACACAAGACGGCAGGACUGGAAACCAACAGGAUCAUCAUGUCUUUGCAGUGCUCAUUUUGAAGAGCAUGCCUUUACUGUGGACUCAAAGGUUGAAGUAUUUCUUUUUUAAUGGACAGCAAUUUUUAUGAAGUUCACAUUUGCAACAAUUUAUUGUUAAAUUGACUAACACUUUGAAUCAUAAAAUGGCGGUUAUUUAAACAUUCCCAAGAGCUGAACGCUACAACUAUCGUGGUUCCAUUUUAAAUUACUGCUGUUUUUAUGUUUUUCUCUAGGGUAAGCGUUGCCUCAAACAGGACUGAAUCAUCAACUGAAGACUGAAGAUACCUGUACUUUCCUGAUCCUACUGAAAUCUCUGGAUGCUGCAUGUUGUGAUUUACAGUCCGCAUAAACAGGACUGAAUCAUCAACAGAAGAUGCCUGGACUCAGCUGAUCUUCCUGUCAUCUGUUUUACCACCGUUUAAGGAUUGACAGUCCGCAUAAACAGGACUGAAUCAUUUUAAACCCAAAUUCAAUUGUGUCAGAAACAAAGUAUGCAAAGACCCCUUUACUGCAGUCCUGCUAUGUAAAUUAGUUUGAGCAGUAUUUCUUUUGCACUUUACAAAGGUUUUAGCAUGUUUGUUCUAUAAAGUCUAAAGUUCAUGUUAAAGUUUAGGAAAGUAUAUCAAAAGAAACAAAAAAAAAUGUUAAGAUUAUUGUGUAAAAUCCUUUUUUUAUGACCCCAUAUAUUAAAGAAUGAGAACUUUGUUCAAUGUAGAGUUAUUUAAGUUAAAUGAUUGUUAGAGUUUAAAACAAAUCAAAAAAUGAUUCAAAAUAAAAUAGUGUGGAUUUGUUAAAAUGCUGAGUUCAGUAUUGUUUGUGAUAUUUAUGUAAAUAGAAAAACUCAAAAAGCAAGAAGUUAACAAAAAGCACAAAAUUUAAAAAAAAAGUUUCAUUAAGAGUUAAAAAUGUUCUUGUGUAAUGUAAAUACAACAUAUCAAUGUAUGUUUUCUAUGUGUGGUGUUGCAUUCAGAGUUCUUCAAUUUUCUAAACUUUUGUAUUAUAUUUCAAUGUUUGUAUUGUAUAUUUGAAUGUUUGUUGUGUUAGAAUUUGUCUUGUUCGCCAAGUUUGUCUUGUCCUGUGGACCCACUCGUGGCCUGCACCUUGGUGUGGUGAGUGUGCUUUCAACUAAGAUGGGCCUUCUGUGUUACAUGCAUUAAAGCCACAUCAGAAACAAGAUCAGAACAAAAGUAUUUUAGCAGUAAGGAAAUAGAUUGUGAAGACAAAGUCAAGACAGAAAUGAGAAAAGAGUGAGAUUUAAAUGUCAUUAAAUUUAGGAAUUUGCAUGUAGUUGUAGUGUCUGCUACCACCUACUGGUCAUUAUUAGUUAGUGUCAUCAGUCAUUUUCAGUUUAAGUUGUUGCAGCCUGGAGUAAAAAAAAAAACAGGAAUCAUGUUGCAAAAAAAAUUUGAGUGAUACCACAUGAACAACUUCUUAUGCUUAGACCAAAUGUGCCCUGUUAGAUAAAGGUAACAGCACUAGCCAAGUAGUAGUCUCUAAGAAUGCUAACUAAAUGAAACCUUUUAAAUAAUUGGACAAGUAUAUCAAAACCUCUAAAGUUUUCAUGCUGAGCUACCACCUGGUUUGAGACAUAAGUGUCAAUGAAUUUAAGUACUGAUAUUCACAAUUUAAUUGAUGAAUUUCUUUGUGUUUUUCCAGAAGCUACCCUCAGAUUCAGACUUCAUCACCAACCACUGAUGAUAUGGUGGAUUCAUCUGCUGCAGCCUGUUUCCUUUUCACCCAAUGCAACUCCCAAAGUA